CCCGCCGGCGACCGGCGCACGGGUGAGUAACACGUAUGAAACCUGCCCGUAGCGAGGGGAUAAGCGGAAAGAAAUUCCGUCUAAUACCGCGUAACAACCCAUGGAGGCAUCUCUGUGGGUUUAAAGGAAGCGAUUCCGGCUACGGAUGGUCAUGCGUCGCAUUAGCUUGUUGGCGGGGUAACGGCCCACCAAGGCGACGAUGCGUAGGGGUUCUGAGAGGAAGGUCCCCCACACUGGUACUGAGACACGGACCAGACUCCUACGGGAGGCAGCAG
rnacentral:rRNA from 1 species